rnacentral:rRNA from 1 species
GACGUAGGGGGCCAGCGUUGUUCGGAAUUACUGGGUGUAAAGGGUUCGUAGGCGGUGUGGCAAGUCGGGAGUGAAAUUUCUGGGCUUAACCCAGAAGCUGCUUCCGAAACUGCUGUGCUAGAGUGCGGGAGAGGCGCGUGGAAUUGCAGGUGUAGCGGUGAAAUGCGUAGAUAUCUGCAGGAACACCCGUGGCGAAAGCGGCGCGCUGGACCGUUACUGACGCUGAGGAACGAAAGCUAGGGGAGCAAACAGG